UACGUAGGGUGCGAGCGUUGUCCGGAAUUAUUGGGCGUAAAGAGCUCGUAGGCGGCCUGUCGCGUCGGAUGUGAAAGCCCGGGGCUUAACCCCGGGUCUGCAUUCGAUACGGGCAGGCUAGAGUGUGGUAGGGGAGAUCGGAAUUCCUGGUGUAGCGGUGAAAUGCGCAGAUAUCAGGAGGAACACCGGUGGCGAAGGCGGAUCUCUGGGCCAUUACUGACGCUGAGGAGCGAAAGCGUGGGGAGUGAACAGG
rnacentral:rRNA from 1 species